GGGGGGAAUCCAGAUCCUGGGCUGUGUCCCCGGUGCCCUGGACUCUCCGGCCUGUACUGCUGGAAUCGCGCUCCCGGCCGCACAGCCCCCU
rnacentral:pre_miRNA from 1 species